rnacentral:misc_RNA from 1 species
UUAGUUUAUUUUUAACUACUUUUCAGGCUAAACAUGGUUAAAAGAAUUUGUGAUAGGCUACUGACGGGCACGAGCCAAGAGGUUCGAAAACCUCCGGCGGUCCGGUUAAAAGACGGGCCCGCCAAAGCAACAUGGUAUUUAAACAAAGGGUUGGAGAUCGGGCCUGAGGGACCCUAGCUCUUUAAUGAUCCUUCCGCAGGUUCACCUACGGAAA